rnacentral:snRNA from 1 species
AAAUCAUCUAUAUAUUAAAAGAGA